rnacentral:rRNA from 1 species
UACAGAGGGUGCAAGCGUUGUCCGGAAUCACUGGGCGUAAAGGGCGCGUAGGCGGCCUGAUAAGUCGGGGGUGAAAUUCUGCGGCUUAACCGCAGGACGGCCUUCGAGACUGUCGGGCUUGAGCACGGUAGAGGCUGGUGGAAUUCCCGGUGUAGCGGUGGAAUGCGUAGAGAUCGGGAGGAACAUCAGUUGCGAAGGCGGCUCUCUGGACCAGCACUGACACUGAGGCACGAAAGCGUGGGGAGCAAACAGG